rnacentral:lncRNA from 1 species
GAAAAAGUAUAUGCCACAAAAUAUACCUGGGAUUCCAUCUGUUGAUCUGAUGAUGGUUUUUCACUUGAGAGUUUCUCAGGGUGUCCUGGUUCUUUGUAAGCCACUUUUGCUGCUGCACAGUUAUGCACAAUUCGGGCUGCCAUUAAAGCAAAGAGUAGCUCCUUUCCUGUUCCUCUGGCCGGAAAGACCAUUUCUGAAAUUUGCUGCCUGAACCAAUUGCCCAGAAGCUGGAGCUGCCCUUGGACCAAAGCACAAAGAAAAAAGAGGAGAUAAUUAAUUGGGAAACUCACCCAAUAAAGAUUGUUUAUCAAGUUUGGUCUUUACCAAUUCAUUUAUUAAUUUUCAGAGUAGUUGCUUGUUUAUUUUGGGUAUUUUAUCCAGGGUGUUUGGUUGUGGUCAAUGGGAAAGAUAGAUAUAGUGUUCUUAUUCUAUUUUGUUCACUGCCAGAGUCUGUGGGUAAUUUUGUUAGUCAUCUCCCCCCUUUACCAAAUUUAUUAUAAUGAGCACAAAUAUUAUGUAUGUAUUUAGGAAUAAAUAUAAAAUGAUAAAAAUAGCCUUUGCUUUACAUUUUCUAAAACUGCUUGGCAAAAAAACACUUUUAUAGAAUUUCAGCCCAGCAUAACUGAAAGAAAUAUAGUUUAGUGACUUGUGUAUAUUUAUUAUUGUUUUCAUAUGUAUUCUCUUCCUUAUUAAAUAUAUACUUGUUGCCAGGGUGAAAAUUUUCAGAAUUAAAAUGGAGUCACUAAUGUUAAGAAAUUCCUGACAAAUUGAGUCAAGGAAGUCCAUGAAGGGAGGGCUCUCCCUUGUAUACCUGAUAAAGAAAAAGAUUCUACAAAGACCUUACACAAAGGCCAUUGAAGUAUACAUAUAUGUGUGUGUGUGUGUGUGUGUGUGUGUGUAAGUAUAUAUAUGUGUGUGUGAGUACAUAUAUAUGUAAGUAUAUAUAUGUGUAUAUAUAUGUGUAUAUGUGUAUGUAUAUAUGUGUGUGUGUGUGUGUGUGUAUAUAUAUAUAUACUUAUAUAUAUACUUCUGCAAGAACAUCUGUUCAGCAACUGCCUGUCCAACCUCGGACUGGUGUCACCCUUGUUAUUGAUCUUUGUAGCCAAGGGUAAUUAUUUCAAAACAAUUAUGUACUCCUCUUCAUUUUUUCCUUUAGAAAGAUUUGUUUUCCUUUACUUCCUUGAAUAAGCACAAACUUUGUUGCAGCAUGUAUAUUCCCAUUGCAACACUCUAUUUCCAAAUAAACAUAAUAUUUAUUUUUUAUUUAUUUAGAGACAGAG